rnacentral:rRNA from 1 species
GACGAACGCUGGCGGCGUGCUUAACACAUGCAAGUCGAACGGAGUGGCGAACGGGUGAGUAACACGUGGGUGACCUGCCCUGCACUUCGGGAUAAGCCUGGGAAACUGGGUCUAAUACCGGAUAGUGUGGGAUGGGCCCGCGGCCGAUCGGCUGGUGGGUGGGGUAGUGGCCUACCACGGCGGCGCGGGGUAGCCGGCCUGAGAGGGUGUACGGCAUCAUUGGGCCUUGGGCACGGACCGGAUUGCGACGGGAGGCAGCAGUGGGUAAUAUUGCAAAAUGGGCGGACGCCUGAUGCAGCGACGCUGGGUGGUGGAUGACUGCCCUCGGGUGGUAAACUCCUUUUACCAUCGACGCGUGAGAUGGAGAAGAAGCACCGGCUAACUACGUGCCAGCAGCCGCGGUAAUAC